rnacentral:rRNA from 1 species
UACAGAGGUCUCAAGCGUUGUUCGGAUUCAUUGGGCGUAAAGGGUGCGUAGGUGGCGCCGUCAGUCAGGUGUGAAAUCUCGGGGCUUAACCCCGAAACUGCACUUGAUACUGCGGUGCUCGAGUACUGGAGAGGAGAUUGGAAUUUACGGUGUAGCAGUGAAAUGCGUAGAUAUCGUAAGGAAGACCAGUGGCGAAGGCGAAUCUCUGGACAGUUACUGACACUGAGGCACGAAGGCCAGGGGAGCAAACGGGAUUAGAUACCCCGGUAGUCCUGGCAGUAAACGGUGCGCGUUUGGUGUGGGAGGAUUCGACCCCUUCUGUGCCGGAGCUAACGCGUUAAACGCGCCGCCUGGGGAGUACGGUCGCAAGAUUAAAACUCAAAG